AAAAAAAAAAAAACAAAGAAAACAAAAAAAACCCCUAAGCACCCCAUAUUUCGGGGCUCUUGCCUUCUGAGAUGGCCCACACUCUGUCUAUGGAGUGUGUUUCUCUCUAAAUAAAUCCACUUCUUACCUAUCACUUUGUCUCUCACUGAAUUCUUUCUGCAGUGAGACAUCAAGAACCUGAGCUUUAUUAAGUCCUGAAACCAGGUGUGUGAUCUCAAUUAAAAGACAGUGGGUUCUGGCUGGGUUAGAGUCCCAGCCCACGGGUUCAAGUUCCAAUCUGAGUUUAGGCUGGGUUUGAGUCCCGGCACGUGGGUUCAAGUCCCAAUCCGAGGUGCUCAGUUUCAUUGACUCAGAAAGAAACUUUGACCUUCCCCCUUACUGCCUAAAUCAUUUAGAUAGAGGGGCUGUUCCUGGAAUAGAGCUAUCACCAGAGGUAUCUGCAAAGAAUGUGGGCUAGGUGUGGUGGGAGGAAAUUCUAGGAGGGGUCUAGAGAUCAGAGUCCACUCUGUAUCCCAUUGUCUCUGCCUGGUUCAUGAACAUUUGUUUACCAAACAUUUACUUUUUUGUCUGUGUCAACUGCCUUCCUCCUUUCUGAAAUUCCAACCCCCACCCUAACAUCCUCCUUUGUCUUUAGCUGAAGAUGAUAUUUAAGGUGAGUGUUUCUGCCAUUUUGGCAAGUUAAUCAGUCUUCCUGGGUCUCUUCCAUGCAUACAUGUUAUUACAUUUUGUUUGGUUUUCUCCUGUUAAUCUGUCUCAUGUCAAUUUAAUCCUUAGGUCAGCCAGGAGAACCUAGAAGGGUAGAGGAAAAUUUCUUCCUCCCCUGAAACCGAAUCCCCCUGAAACCGAGCUCUCCCACCAAGCUUAUGAUUAACCUCUAUCCAAGACGUUAUUCUCUUUCUUGUCCUGUACCUGUCCCCCUCAGGACUGAGGAGUAUCAAAGAAAAGGGGGGAAUGAAACCCUCCUGAGUACAAAAGCCUCUCCGUGUUGCCCAUUUCCUGUUUAUAGAAAAUGGCUUUUGUCUCUUAGGCCUUCUCUGAGUUCCAAAGAGCAGACACAAGCAUUGCUUAUUAGGGAAGUGAGGGAAUGCUGAAACAAAGAUAAAGCAGUUAAGUGAGAAAAAAAUGACAAUAAUUCAGUGAUAAAACAGAGUCCUAGUUCCUCUUCAAGGGAUAUAUUGACAUAACCGUCUGACACAUAAUUUGGUAUUGUUCUGCAGGAAGUAAGGCCCUCACCAAGGUGGAGGAUGGUGACUACAUGCUGAGUAUAAUCAGUAGAUCCCAAACCAGUUGGUCAGAACCAGAAGGUUGAUGAUGUCCCUGGAACACCAUCCUGUUAUCUCACUACCAACCAACCAGAAGAAAAUCAUGCACUCUGCAGCCCUCACCCCAAGUGUUGCCUUUAAAAACCCUUCCCUGAGGACCGUCGGGAAGUUCAGGUCUUUUGAGCACAAGCCACCCACUCUCCUUGCUGGGCUCUGCAAUACACGCUGUACUUUCCUUGACAACAACCCCUUGUCAGUAAAUUGGUUUUGCUUCACAUGGGUGAGCAAACCCAAGUUUGGUUUGAUAACACCCUGACACCAGCCGAGAUCCAAACCCCAGUCUAUCUUAGUCUAAAGCUGUACCAAGAACAUGCUGUGAACCCACUGUGUUCAGCUGCAAAUAACAGAACACCUGUAUAGCUGUGGCUUAAACAGAGAGGGGUUUGCAGGUCUCAGAGAGGAAGCUGAGACUGGGCAGCAUGGUCUGGGGCUCGGUUAUGCCAUCAGGGACCCAGGCUCUUAUCCUCUUUCCUCUUCUGUCACCUUUUGCAUGGAGACCUUUGUCCUCAUGUCUGUCAUCUUGUCACAGCUGCUACACCUCCCAGUAGGACAAAGGAGAAAGUGCAAACACCUAGGCCAUCUGAGCUUUCUCUGUUUAUGACAAUAAACAAAAGCUUUAUUGGAAGCCCCUCCCCAUGACUUCUGCAUCAUCUUAUUGGCCAGACUGGGUCACACAGCCACCCCUGAAUCAUCGCUGGAAGGUGAGUGGGAAGGGGGGCUGGAGAUGGGGGCUAGUUCAACCAGCUGAUGUCUGGGCCCCAUCUCUGCAGCCUCAUGUUCCAUUUAGGUCAAUAAAUAUUUAUUGUGCACCUUCUGUUUGCCAGGUCCUGUGCAGGGCACUGGAGGCAGUCAUAGAGAUGAAUCAGAAGUAGCCACCACUCCACCCUGUUCUAGUGGAGGAGGGUCCUCCCCUGUGUGCACACACAUCUCUUAGCCACGAUGGAUUCCAGCGGAGAGGCUUAUGGGUAGGUUGACAUCACUUAUUAUGAGGUGACGCCCCCUCCCUUUCAACCUCUGAGGAGCCUUGCUGUGCACGUGUAGUCGGGAAGGUCUCCUUGACCUCGAGAAUGAGAAGUAUGUGGUCUCUGUCUUUUAUCUGGGCGGAACCCAGCUCUCCUCUCUUGCUAUUUUGGACAGACUCUAGCUGCUCAGCCUGGGGCCCGUCUAUCUCCUGCCCCAGUCAUAGCAGCUGUUCAUGUUUCAAAGCUGUUGUCGGAUCUCAGAUGUACAAAGGCCAAGGGUUGCCGGUGGUGGAGGAGAGGGCAGAGUCAUCCUGUGGCCGGAAGGAGUGGACAACGGCGAGGGCAUGACGGGGCAAGACCUGGCAACGCCAACGGGCAUGAGUUCUGGUGGGAGGCACAACUUUCAGGGCAUCAGGCGUGCGAGGGUGGGGUGUGCGCAUGUGUGAGUAUAUGGGGGUCAGUUGGGAUGUUUCUGAAUGCAAGUGUCAGAAACCCAAAGCCACCCGAGCCGGUGUUAACAGUAGGGGUUUGCUAUUUCCUCUUACAGGAAGUCCGGCGGUCACCAGAACCAAGUCUGAGCCUACCGAUUUCACUAAGGACCCAAACUCUAUUCUCUGGUUUGCCAUGCUGUACGUUUGCUCUGUUGGCCCCUUCUGGUCAGAAGAUGGUGACAGCAGCUCAGGCAAUCAUGUGUCCUCACAGACAAAGCCCCAAGGCACGCUAGGGUUGGCCUUGUCUCCUGGUCUCUCUCGUUUCCUUCGGGGAUGGAGGAUAUUUUCCUGGAAGCCCCAGAGGCUGGGAAAGCGAGGUCUGGUACUUCCAGGCUCAGGUGUGGGAGGUGAGCAUGGUCUCCAGGAAGGAGGGAGAGGCGAAUGGCUGUUGGUACAAGCUGCAGCGCCUGCUCCUUGGGUGUAUGCAGACGUGUGCAGAGGGGUGGGAGCAUCUGCAGGUGUAGCUGCUGCCUUGGGCAGGACCCGGGCCACAGGGAGUGUGGUCACCAGGCUGUGGACUUGGUUUCUUACCCUGAAUGAGCUACGGGGAGUUACAGCAUCAGAUCUGCAUUUUACAAAGAUGGUAGAGUGGACCCGGUGGACUGCAAGGGCAGAGCCUGUUGCAAUCAUUUAGGCAAGAGCUGGAGCCCUGAGCAGUGUCAGGGGCUGCCCUGGGGUUAAGGCUGUGGCGUUUUGAGGGAUGAGGAGAGAGCAACUCCCCUUCUGCUGAGCUUCCUCCUGCCCCAGGAGCUGCUCAUUCUGAUCUCCUUUGCCGCCUCCUUCUCCUUUCCUCUCCUCCACCUGUACCCAAAGGCGGGCCCCCGGGCUCAGUCCUGGGUCCUCUUUCUUCUCCAUCAACGCCCACUUCCCAGGUGAUCUCAUCCAGUCCCGUGGUUUUAAAUGCUAUUUAUAUGCCAGUGAUCCCCAAAUGGGUGACUAGCCCUGAUUCUUCCCUGAACUCUGGACUUGUUCGCCCGACAUCUCCCCUUGGAGGCCACUCCCAAACCCCUUCCCGUCUCCGCGGUCCUCUGAACCACUAGGCAUCCGGAGGCUCAGCCCGAGCUAAUUUUCUCCCAUCCCUCGUUCUGUCCACGGGCAAAUCCCAUGGCUGCUCCACUCCACCCCUGACACUCUGGUUCCGCUCACCUUCCCCUCUCGCCCAGACCCCUGUGGUGGCCCCCAAACUGGCCUCCCUGCCUCCCCCCAUUGUCCCCACACCCAGUCCGUUUCCCUCACAGCAGCCAGGGAUCAUAUUAUUGUUUUUUUAAACUUCUUAUGGGAAAUUUCAAACACACCCAAAAAAAGAGAUUAGUACAAUUACCUUAGUGUUUGUUUAUCACUCAAUUUUAGUUGUUAAUAAAACAUGCCCAGCCAGAAUGAUGUCUUUACAGUAUAAGUUUGGUGGGUUUACCCUCCUGCUUAAAACCUAAAAUCCAAUUCCUUACCAACCUCAUCCUUAACCUCUCUCCUCCUCGCUCUGGCCUCCUGGCCUCUGCUGAUCCUGGAACAUGCCACGGUGACCUCAGGGCCUUUGCACUGCUGUUUUCUAAUGGCCUGGAUCACUUCUUUCAGAUCUUUGCUUGACUGACUUGUUCUCAACCUUGAGGUAUCCACCAUUUAGAAUGAACAAAUGUUAGAAUUUUGCCAUUAUGGCUUCUUAAUCUUUGAAAGUAGAAAAAAGGAAAAAGCAUGACAGAUGAAGCUGACACUCUCUCUGACUUUCUCCCUCCUCCAACUGCUGCUCCAGGGAACCAGCUACCAUCACAAAUGGGCAGGGACCUUCUAGGUCUUGUAUUUUAAGAAAGAUUUUCACUGUAUAUGUGUUCAGAACAACAUAUAAUAUGGCUUAAUGGGCUUGAAAAAAUUAUACAAAUGCUAUCAUUCCACAGCUAUGACUCUGUAACUUUCCCUUUUCACGUAACACCGUGUUUUUGAGAUCUGUCCACAUUGAUACACACAGAUUGCAUUCAUUUUAACCACUGCUUAGUCAUCCCUGAGACAGAUACACCCAGUUUAUUUAUUUCCCAAUUGAUGGAAAAAUGCUACCACACGCAGUCUUGCACAUGUUUUUUCAUUCACAGGUGGAUGCUUCUGGAAGGAGUGCUUUUCAGACUGGGGUUUGCAACCCAUUAGGGGGUAGUGAAAACAAUUCAAUCAGUUGUGAAAUAGAAUAGAUAGAGAAUAAAUGCACACAUUGCACGUAAUAAGGGUAAUUACUGUUUUGUUAACUUCGUGUUUCAGUUUCACAUGUCUGAGUAGUGGGCAGCUUUGUACAGCACACUCCUUACUGUGGGUGGCUCUCAAAGUCUGAAAACCAAGUCUGAGAGCCACCCACAGUAAGAUGUGCUGGGUCAGGGCAUGGGCAGUGUCUGAUGCUCUGGUCGACCAUGAACUCAUCCAUGCACGGUGAAGCGUCAGACUUUUUUUGUUUUUUCAAAUGAGUAUGAGAUAGUAUCUAAUUGUGGUUUUAAUUUGCAUUUCCCUCGCUUACUAACGAAGUUGAACAUCUUUUCCUACGUUCAUUGGCUCUCUGGUUUUUCUCUUCUGUGAAGUGCCUUUAUCUAUGUGUUCUAGUGAGUCAUUUGAUUUUAUCUUACUGAUUUGUAGGUGUUCCUUAGAUAUUCCAUGUAUUCUGGCUACUGGUCCUUGGACUGUUUCAUGGGUUGCAUACAUUUCUUCCAGGCUGUCACUACCUUUUGGCUUUGCUCCUGCUGUCUCUACACCAGAUUCAGCAACAAGGAGUUUACCAGUGACUUGGGCCAGGGCAGUGGCCAUGGAAGUGGGGAGGCAGGGGCUGAAGCUGUAUGGCCAGUGGCUGGUGACUGCAUGACUUCUUUCAACAAUAUCGUUUAAAUGGUCAAGUGAAGGGGCAUUGAGGAACAUUUUUUUUUCUUUUAAUAAAA